rnacentral:rRNA from 1 species
AGUGAACGCUGGCGGUAGGCCUAACACAUGCAAGUCGAACGGCGGCACAGUAAGAGCUUGCUCUUACGGGUGGCGAGUGGCGGACGGGUGAGGAAUACAUCGGAAUCUACUUUUUCGUGGGGGAUAACGUAGGGAAACUUACGCUAAUACCGCAUACGACCUACGGGUGAAAGCAGGGGAUCUUCGGACCUUGCGCGAUUGAAUGAGCCGAUGUCGGAUUAGCUAGUUGGCGGGGUAAAGGCCCACCAAGGCGACGAUCCGUAGCUGGUCUGAGAGGGUGAUCAGCCACACUGGAACUGAGACACGGUCCAGACCCCUACGGGAGGCAGCAGUGGGGAAUAUUGGACAAUGGGCGCAAGCCUGAUCCAGCCAUACCGCGUGGGUGAAGAAGGCCUUCGGGUUGUAAAGCCCUUUUGUUGGGAAAGAAAAGCAGCAGGUUAAUACCCCGCUGUUCUGACGGUACCCAAAGAAUAAGCACCGGCUAACUUCGUG